AACGAACGCUGGCGGCAUGCCUAACACAUGCAAGUCGAACGAGACCUUCGGGUCUAGUGGCGCACGGGUGCGUAACGCGUGGGAAUCUGCCCUUUGCUUCGGAAUAACACAGAGAAAUUUGUGCUAAUACCGGAUAAUGUCGCAAGACCAAAGAUUUAUCGGCAAAGGAUGAGCCCGCGUAGGAUUAGGUAGUUGGUGGGUAAUGGCCUACCAAGCCGACGAUCCUUAGCUGGUCUGAGAGGAUGAUCAGCCACACUGGGACUGAGACACGGCCCAGACUCCUACGGGAGGCAGCAGUGGGGAAUAUUGGACAAUGGGCGAAAGCCUGAUCCAGCAAUGCCGCGUGAGUGAUGAAGGCCUUAGGGUUGUAAAGCUCUUUACCAGG
rnacentral:rRNA from 1 species